CCUACGGGUGGCAGCAGUGAGGAAUAUUGGUCAAUGGUCGCAAGGCUGAACCAGCCAAGCCGCGUGAAGGAAGAAGGAUCUAUGGUUUGUAAACUUCUUUUAUAGGGGAAUAAAGGUAUCCACGUGUGGAUAUUUGCAUGUACCCUAUGAAUAAGCAUCGGCUAACUCCGUGCCAGCAGCCGCGGUAAUACGGAGGAUGCGAGCGUUAUCCGGAUUUAUUGGGUUUAAAGGGUGCGGAGGUUGUUUUGUAAGUCAGCGGUGAAAGUUUGGGGCUUAACCAUACAAUUGCCGUUGAAACUGGCAGUCUUGAGUGUGUGAGAGGUAGGCGGAAUGCGCGGUGUAGCGGUGAAAUGCAUAGAUAUCACGCAGAACUCCGAUUGCGAAGGCAGCUUACUAGGCCAUAACUGACACUGAAGCACGAAAGCGUGGGGAUCAAACAGGAUUAGAUACCCGGGUAGUC
rnacentral:rRNA from 1 species